UCCUGUCUUUCCUUGCUCACACGCAACGGCCGCUGGAAGUUUGACGAUUGCCGGAAGAAGAGAGGCUACAUCUGCAAGAAAAGAGGAGACACGCCAAAAGCCCCGCAGCCUCAUGACAGCUUUAAGGAGAUCCUUGUCUGCAACAAGCAUUCUGCUGACCUUGUGUGUGAGGCUGAGGGUCAGAAGCAAAGCCGCAUCAGCAUCCAGUCCGCCUUUUACGGUCGGCGGAGUGACGACGUUUGCCAGGAGGACGGCGACUCAUUCAACGACUACUCAUUCGACGACGACGACUCAUUGG